rnacentral:rRNA from 1 species
GAUGAACGCUAGCGGCAGGCUUAAUACAUGCAAGUCGAGGGGCAUCGCGGGUAGCAAUGCCUGGCGGCGACCGGCGCACGGGUGCGUAACGCGUAUGUAAUCUACCUUUAACCGGGGAAUAGCCCAGAGAAAUCUGGAUUAAUGCCCUAUAGUAUUAUUGGAAGGCAUCUUUCGAUAAUUAAAGCUCCGGCGGUUUUAGAUGAACAUGCGUGUCAUUAGUUAGGUGGCGAGGUAACGGCUCACCAAGACUACGAUGACUAGGGGGUCUGAGAGGAUGAUCCCCCAGACUGGGACUGAGACACGGACCAGACUCCUACGGGAGGCAGCAGUAAGGAAUAUUAGGCAAUGGAGGCAACUCUGACCCAGCCAUGCCGCGUGAAGGAUUACGGCCUUCGUGGUUGUAAACUUCUUGUGUACGGGAAUAACCCUCCGAACGUGUUCGGAGCUGAAGGUACCGUAAGAAUAAGGAUCGGCUAACUCCGUGCCAGCCGCCGCCGUAA